rnacentral:tRNA from 1 species
GUUGGUAUAGCUCAGUGGUAGAGCAUGCUUAGCAUGCAUUAGGUCCUGGGUUCAAUCCCUAGUACCUCCA